UACGAAGGGGGCUAGCGUUGCUCGGAAUGACUGGGCGUAAAGGGAGUGUAGGCGGACAUUUAAGUCAGGGGUGAAAUCCCGGAGCUCAACUCCGGAACUGCCUUUGAUACUGAGGAUCUUGAGUUCGGGAGAGGUGAGUGGAACUGCGAGUGUAGAGGUGAAAUUCGUAGAUAUUCGCAAGAACACCAGUGGCGAAGGCGGCUCACUGGCCCGAUACUGACGCUGAGGCACGAAAGCGUGGGGAGCAAACAGGG
rnacentral:rRNA from 1 species